UCCGCAAUGGGCGAAAGCCUGACGGAGCGACGCCGCGUGCGGGAUGAAGGCCUUCGGGUUGUAAACCGCUGUCAGUUGGGAGGAAAUCUAUGGGGGUUCUCCCCCAUAGUUGACCUAUCUUCAGAGGAAGGACGGGCUAAGUUCGUGCCAGCAGCCGCGGUAAGACGAACCGUCCAAACGUUAUUCGGAAUCACUGGGCUUAAAGGGUGCGUAGGCGGCUUGGCAAGUUGGGUGUGAAAUCCCUCGGCUCAACCGAGGAACUGCGCUCAAAACUGCCAAGCUAGAGGAAGAUAGAGGUGAGCGGAACUAAUGGUGUAGCGGUGAAAUGCGUUGAUAUCAUUAGGAACACCUGUGGCGAAAGCGGCUCACUGGGUCUUUUCUGACGCUGAGGCACGAAAGCUAGGGUAGCGAACGGGAUUAGAUACCCCGGUAGUCCUAGCUGUAAACGAUGAGCACUAGGUUGGAGGCUCCUCCAUAGGUUUCCGACCGAAGCGAAAGUGUUAAGUGCUCCGCCUGGGGAGUAUGGUCGCAAGGCUGAAACUCAAAGGAA
rnacentral:rRNA from 1 species